rnacentral:misc_RNA from 1 species
AGCAAUUGAAUCUUCAAUUUGAGUAGGAAGAGUCAUCAAUUGGACAUAUAUAUGGAAUGACCCUACUUCACUAGCAUCACCCUCUUAUCCGAAAAUGACAUUUAAUUUGAAGAUAUACAUAUAAACAGACACGGCUAAAACGUUCACUAAUUAAAAGAUUACACGUACAACUAUAGUAUUCAUAAAUAUUAUUGAAGUUCCAUAAUACUUUUAUAUCAUCAAACACUUGGAAACAAGAGGAAAAUAUACAUAGAAACACUCAGCUCCUUUGGAUUUUAACUUUUUCCAAGCAGGACUUUCCAUAAAUUCGGCUGCUUUGUUGCAUCUCCAAGUAAUCCUUGUACUUCAUUGGAAUAUAAUUAGCUGAUGGGCUGUUCUCUUUUUCCAUCAAUGGAGAAGCUGGCUUUACAAUUGUGUCUAAUGAUGGACCAUGAGCUACCACUACUGAUAUCCUUGUUACUUUGUUGUUCACCACUGCUCUAUGCAUGUUGCUCUUGUACUUCCCAUUACUAAAUAUCUACCAUAUUAAAUAAAAUUUUGGUCUUGAAGUAACAGUAAAAUAACUUGCUAUUUCAAUCUUACUAUUAAUAGUCUUGGCAACAAUGAACUCAAUACUUUAAAAGGCCGAUGAUUAAUUUUAAAUCACGCGUCUUUGUGACUGUAGACAUGAAAAAUGGAUUUAAUUACCUCGAGAUGAUCGCCGGUAUUAACCAAGAGAGAGUAGUUAGGAAGGGCCUUGACGUUAAUCCAUUUGCCUUGAUGUUGAACCUGGAGACCUCCAACUUGGUUAUGAAUGAGAAGUGUUAAAAGGCCUUGAUCUGAAUGAGGUGGCAUACCCAUUGCUAGUUCAGGUUGAGGACAAGGUGGAUAGUAAUUUCCAACGAAGAUUUGAAGCCCUGAUUCCAACUCUAAAUCUUUCUCCAAGUAACUUUCUUCAAGCCCUAAACUUUCAGAUAUGCCUCCUAGUAACUUUCUUGUCACUUCCCGGAGUUUCUCACUAUACUCCGACAUAAUACCCCUGUAGGUUUGUGGUUUGGUGGGAGAGUGAAAAUGAGGAUGGACAAAGACCUUGAGAAAAUCUCUCCAAAAGAAGACAUUUUCUGUACUAGUAUUGAAACUUGUCCCAUAUCUUAUAGGAUCCAACACAUGCUUCCCAGUAAACUUGUGUUUUUCUUCCUCUGGUAAAUUGAAAAAUUCAUGAGUGCAAUCAAUCACUGACUUCAUCAGAUUUUCUGGUAUGCCGUGGUUCACUACCAUGAAGAAGCCCCAACCUUGACAAGCUUUGGUGAGGUGGUGGAUGGCUGUAGAACGUUGAUGAGAAUCAUGAGAGGUGAGUAGAGAAAAAUCAACAAUGGGGAUUGAAUCUGAAUCAUCAAUAUCAUUUGUAGCAGAGGAAUUGGAAGAGUCAUAAACAUAAUUGUAAGGUAUGCAACGCAAAUCAGGAGAUUCAGCAAGCUCUUUGACAUUGGAUGGUUUAACCACAAGUGGAGCUGUAGCUUCCAUAAUUGAUGAAAAUGCUUGGAAAGAGGUUGAUAAUUUAUAGAGAUAAAUGUUGUA